rnacentral:lncRNA from 1 species
UUUGAACAAUGUGGCUUGCUUGAGUAUGCUUGAAGUGUUGUAGUUGGGGUAUUUGAUGUUUUGAGGCCCCUAGGAACUUGUAUGCAUGAUUUGGUUGAAGUAUAUGCUUGAUUUGUGGAUUUGGGAGGCAGGAGGUUCAUGUGAACCAAGUUUCUGCCCGUUUGGCAGAAACCAGGUUCGGCAGCCGAAGGAAGUUUCGGCCGCCGAACCCCUCUUGUGAAGGCAGCAUUCGGCUGCCGAAGGUGCCCCCGAAAAGAG